rnacentral:rRNA from 1 species
UGGGGAAUCUUGCACAAUGGGGGCAACCCUGAUGCAGCGACGCCGCGUGAGCGAUGAAGCCCUUCGGGGCGUAAAGCUCUUUCGACCGGAACGAUAAUGACGGUACCGGGAGAAGAAGCUGCGGCUAACUACGUGCCAGCAGCCGCGGUAAUACGUAGGGGGCAAGCGUUGUCCGGAUUUACUGGGUGUAAAGGGCGCGCAGGCGGGAUAAAAAGUCAGUGGUGAAAUCCUACAGCUUAACUGUAGAACUGCCUUUGAUACCUUUAUUCUUGAGUUCGGGAGAGAGAGACGGAAUUCCAGGUGUAGUGGUGAAAUACGUAGAUAUCUGGAAGAACACCAGUUGCGAAGGCGGUCUCUUGAUCCGACACUGACGCUGAGGCGCGAAAGCGUGGGGAGCAAACA